AGAGACUUAGGAUAGAUCUAAACCAAGAGCCUUCAAAACUCUAAACAGGGGUGAAAACCCCCUAGCCUCUG
rnacentral:tRNA from 1 species